CGACGAGGAGUCCCAAGCCUGUAUGGAGAUGCAUCCAACUCCGAAGUGCUCACGCACGCACGUUUGGGACGCGCCCGCGCGCUCGUGGUCGCAGGUCCAGAUGAAGCCGCGAGUGAAUUGGUUGUCGCCGCCGCGCGCGAUAUUGCCCCUGAGUUGCCCAUUAUUGCCCGCGCAACAACCCAGGAUGGAAUCGACAGACUGGCAGAAUUUGGGGCACAGGAUGUUAUUCAUCCUGAACUCGAGGGUGGCCUAGAAAUUAUGCGACACACUCUCUUAGCACUUGGGUUUCCAUUACCGGAAAUCAUUCGCUAUAUGGAUGCAGUGCGCCGCGACCAUUACAACAC
rnacentral:misc_RNA from 1 species